rnacentral:rRNA from 1 species
CCGACUGCUAUUUGGGUGAGAAUAAGCCAUGCGAGUUGAAUGGGAUACCUAAAGUUCCCAUAGCAAACUGCUCAGUAACACAUGAUCAACUUACCCUAUAGAGAAAAAUAACCUCGGGAAACUGAGGAUAAUGUUUCAUAAUUGAAUCGGCUUGGAAAAGUUUUUCAAUGAAAGGGAUAAAAAAAAUGGCUUUUAUCUGCUAUAGGAUAGGAUCGUGUUCGAUUAUGGUUGUUGGUGAGAUAAUGGCUCACCAAGCCGAUAAUCGAUAGGGGCCGUAAGAGCGGGAGCCCCGAGAUGGGUACUGAGACAACGACCCAGGUCUUACGAGGCGCAGCAGGCGCGGAACCUCCGCAAUACACGAAAGUGUGACGGGGUUACCCAAAGUGUUCAAUAGAACUGUUGUAGGUGAGUAAUGUCCCCUACUAGAAAGGAGAGGGCAAGGCUGGUGCCAGCCGCCGCGGUAAAACCAGCUCUUCAAGUGGUCGGGAUAAUUAUUGGGCUUAAAGUGUCCGUAGCCGGUUUAGUAAGUUCCUGGUAAAAUCGGGUAGCUUAACUAUCUGCAUGCUAGGGAUACUGCUAUACUAGAGGGCGGGAGAGGUCUGAGGUACUACAGGGGUAGGGGUGAAAUCUUAUAAUCCUUGUAGGACCACCAGUGGCGAAGGCGUCAGACUGGAACGCGCCUGACGGUGAGGGACGAAAGCCAGGGGAGCGAACCGGAUUAGAUACCCGGGUAGUCCUGGCCGUAAACGAUGCAUACUAGGUGAUGGUACGGCCAUGAGCCGUAUCAGUGCCGUAGGGAAACCGUUAAGUGUGCCGCCUGGGAAGUACGGUCGCAAGGCUAAAACUUAAAGGAAUUGGCGGGGGAGCACCACAAGGGGUGAAGCCUGCGGUUCAAUUGGAUUCAACGCCGGA